GGAACGAAAUGCCAGUGGGUACUCUCAUUGGUUUGACUGAUCCUCAAAGGAAGGGUGGGCUAAGUUCGUGCCAGCAGCCGCGGUAAGACGUACCACCCGAACGUUAUUCGGAUUUACUGGGCUUAAAAGAGUCCGUAGGCGGCCAAGUAAGUUGGGUGUGAAAAUACCUCGGCUUAACCGAGGAGCUGCAUUCAAAACUACUUGGCUUGAGAGAGACAGAGGUGAGCGGAACUGAUGGUGGAGCGGUGAAAUGCGUUGAUAUCAUCAGGAACACCGGUGGCGAAAGCGGCUCACUGGGUCUUAUCUGACGCUCAGGGACGAAAGCUAGGGGAGCGAACGGGAUUAGAUACCCCGGUAGUCCUAGCCUUAAACGAUGAGCACUAGAUCGUAGGGACCUCCACAUCCUUUCGGUCGUAGGGAAACUGUUAAGUGCUCGCC
rnacentral:rRNA from 1 species